rnacentral:rRNA from 1 species
UACGUAGGGGGCGAGCGUUGUCCGGAUUUAUUGGGCGUAAAGAGCGUGUAGGCGGCUUUGCAAGUCCGUUGUGAAAACUCGAGGCUCAACCUCGAGACGCCGGUGGAAACUGCAAAGCUAGAGUCCGGAAGAGGAGAGUGGAAUUCCUGGUGUAGCGGUGAAAUGCGCAGAUAUCAGGAAGAACACCCGUGGCGAAGGCGGCUCUCUGGGACGGUACUGACGCUCAGGCACGAAAGCGUGGGGAGCAAACAGG